AUGAGAGGUAGAGAAGAAGAACCAGAAGGAGGAGCAGCCAUGAGCAAGAAUGGGGGCAGCUUGGACUUUCCCUUUGACUGCGCCGAGGAGACACAAUUUCUGGAGACACACCUGCAGAGUCACUGCAAGGAUGUGGUGACUCAGCCUCCCUCUGUGUCUGCAGCCCUGGGGAGCUCGGCCAGACUCUCCUGCACCCUGAGUAGUGCGUCCAGUCGUUAUGAUGUUGGUUGGCACCAGCAGAGCCCAGGAAAGCCCCCUCGGUACCUCCUGUAUAUCGAUAGCAGUGGAAGUACAGGCAGGGCCGACGGGAUCCCUGAGCGCUUCUCUGGCUCCGGAUCUGGGACUAACCGAUUCCUGUCCAUCAGCAACGUCCAGCCUGAGGAUGAGGCCGAUUAUUUCUGCCAGUCGUAUUACUACUCUGGUGGUAGCUAUCCUUAUACACAGUGA